rnacentral:rRNA from 1 species
UCACAGUACGUGAAACCGUUCAGGGGUAAACCUGAGAAACUCGAAAGAUCGAAUGGGGAGAUUCAGCGCGUCUCGGAGGGCGCGAGUGGUGGCACUGUGACGGUCGACGUUCGCGUCGGCCGCCUCGCCAUCACCGCAGUUCGACGAACGUGUGCACUUCUCCCCUAGUAGAAGGUCGUGACCCGUUGAGUGCCCGUCUACGGCCCGCGGAGGAAGCCCGUGCGGAGGAUUUUACGAUCCUCCGCCGGACCCGCGGUGUCCUGGCCGGCCCGCUCGACGGUGUUGAUAUUGGCGAGGGGCCGCGAUUUUCGCGUCCGGCGCGCAACAAGCUCGAACGGUUCAAUCCGUCUGUCGGACCUGGUGCCGACGGCGGACCCGUUCGGCUGUUGGUUGCGUCGUUCUCGGACCGACUCCCGCCUGUCAACGACGCCUUUGCAUUGGGUACUCUCAGGACCCGUCUUGAAACACGGACCAAGGAGUCUAGCAUGUGCGCGAGUCAUUGGGACUAGCGAAACCUAAAGGCGAAAUGAAAGCAAAGGCCACCUCAGGGUGUGCCGAGGGAGGAUGCGGAGCGCCAAGGUGCUCCGCCGCACUCCCGGGGCGUCUCGAGCUCAUUGCGAGCUGAGGCGCACCUAGAGCGUACAUGCUGGGACCCGAAAGAUGGGUGAAC